rnacentral:rRNA from 1 species
CGUAGGGCGCAAGCGUUAUCCGGAAUUAUUGGGCGUAAAGAGCUCGUAGGCGGUUUGUCGCGUCUAUCGUGAAAGUCCGAGGCUCAACCUCGGAUCUGCGGUGGGUACGGGCAGACUAGAGUGAUGUAGGGGAGACUGGAAUUCCUGGUGUAGCGGUGAAAUGCGCAGAUAUCAGGAGGAACACCGAUGGCGAAGGCAGGUCUCUGGGCAUUAACUGACGCUGAGGAGCGAAAGCAUGGGAGCGAACAGGAUU